AAGUCGUAACAAGGUCUCCGUAGGUGAACCUGCGGAGGGAUCAUUAACACGUAUCCAAACGUUUCAAACCAAACCGUGCUCUUAUUUCCUGUAGGGGAUUGGUGACUAGCAAGCCACAGGUGGAUUGGUCUCUCUUCGGGGAGAUCCCUACUUGCAGUCUACUGGCACCUUGAGGCCGACUGAUUCUCUACAGUGUAUCCCAAGCCACCUGGUUACAUGUGCCAAACCGGUUCCGACCCGGAGCCUUGUAACCUUAGUAUUCCCUUUUUUAUACCCCUUUUUAUCAAUCAACUGAUUUUUACUUUCUUCUCUGUCAGCCUCUGGGUUGAUUAGAAAGAAAUAUACGAAAUAUACGUACAACUCUUAGCAAUGGAUAUCUUGGUUCUC
rnacentral:misc_RNA from 1 species